CCUACGGGUGGCAGCAGUGAGGAAUAUUGGUCAAUGGACUAGAGUCUGAACCAGCCAAGUAGCGUGAAGGAUGACUGCCCUAUGGGUUGUAAACUUCUUUUAUAAAGGAAUAAAACGAGGCACGUGUGCCUUUUUGCAUGUACUUUAUGAAUAAGGAUCGGCUAACUCCGUGCCAGCAGCCGCGGUAAGACGGGGGAUUCGAGCGUUAUCCGGAUUUAUUGGGUUAAAAGGGUGCGUAGGCGGAGGGUUAAGUCAGCGGUCAAAUGUCGGUGCUAAACACCGGCCUGCCGUUGAAACUGGUCUUCUUGAGUGAGCGAGAAGUAUGCGGAAUGCGUGGUGUAGCGGUGAAAUGCGUAGAUAUCACGCAGAACUCCGAUUGCGAAGGCAGCAUCCCGGCGCUCAACUGACGCUGAGGUGCGAAAGCGUGGGGAUCGAACAGGAUUAGAUACCCCGGUAGUC
rnacentral:rRNA from 1 species